GGAAAAGAGGAUGGUGAAUCCGUUGAUCCUUCCAACUUCAAGAUCGACAGAAAGGAUAAGGCUUUCACCAAGUACAAGGUCAAAGAGUCUCAUUCCACAGAGAAAACUUGUCCCGCAAGUAACCUAAUCAAGAAACCAAUAAGAGGCCAUCUUUCUGUGAAGAUUAAUAAAGAGAAAGAAUAUGAUGAAUGCAGAGCAGAGAAGAGAUACCAAAAUCAAGUUUCCAGUGGAAGAAAAUCGUCUUCAGGGAUAAACCUCAGAAGAGUAACUUCACCAAGAAUUCAACUCUCAGGUACGCGUACAAGCACGUCGAGAUCAAAGAGCAAACAAGUUGUUCUUGAGAGUUUUGCAGUGGUGAA
rnacentral:lncRNA from 1 species